rnacentral:rRNA from 1 species
AGGACAAACGCUGGCGGCGUACCUAAGACAUGCAAGUCGAACGGGGCUCCGUGCUUCGGCGUGGAGUUGAGUGGCGAACGGGUGAGUAACGCGUAGGAACCUGUCGUUGAGUGGGGGAUAACGCUGGGAAACCGGUGCUAAUACCGCAUGAGGUUGCUGGGGGAGACUCUGGUAAAGAAAGCAGUAAUGCGCUCGAUGAGGGGCCUGUGUCCGAUUAGCUUGUUGGUGGGGUAAAGGCCUACCAAGGCGACGAUCGGUAGCUGGUCUGAGAGGAUGGUCAGCCACACUGGGACUGAGACACGGCCCAGACUCCUACGGGAGGCAGCAGUUAGGAAAUUUUUCCCAAUGGGCGAAAGCCUGAGGGAGUAACGCCGCGUGCGGGAUGACGGCUUUCGGUUGUAAACCGCUUUCUGUGGAGAGUAGAAGACGGUACCGCAGGAAUAAGCCUCGGCUAACUACGUGCCAGCAGCGC